GAUGAACGCUGGCGGCGUGCCUAAUACAUGCAAGUCGAGCGAACAGAUAAGGAGCUUGCUCCUUUGACGUUAGCGGCGGACGGGUGAGUAACACGUGGGUAACCUACCUAUAAGACUGGGUUAACUUCGGGAAACCGGAGCUAAUACCGGAUAAUAUUUCGAACCGCAUGGUUCGAUAGUGAAAGAUGGUUUUGCUAUCACUUAUAGAUGGACCCGCGCCGCAUUAGCUAGUUGGUAAGGUAACGGCUUACCAAGGCGACGAUGCGUAGCCGACCUGAGAGGGUGAUCGGCCACACUGGAACUGAGACACGGUCCAGACUCCUACGGGAGGCAGCAGUAGGGAAUCUUCCGCAAUGGGCGAAAGCCUGACGGAGCAACGCCGCGUGAGUGAUGAAGGUCUUCGGAUCGUAAAACUCUGUUAUUAGGGAAGAACAUAUGUGUAAGUAACUGUGCACGUCUUGACGGUACCUAAUCAGAAAGCCACGGCUAACUACGUG
rnacentral:rRNA from 1 species